rnacentral:lncRNA from 1 species
CUGCAGGUGGUGGGGCCUGGAGGCCUUGGGGUGGAACCUGAGGGUCAGGCUGCGUCUCCUCCGCAGGGAGACGAGGGCGGCAGGUCUACCAGGGAGCAGUCGCUGCCCAGCUUCUCCCUGCGUAGGAAGGGAGAGGGCGGCUGGGCGCUGAGUGUGCCCACGCUCCAAGGCAGGCUUUGGGCUCCAACAAGGGGGGCCGCCCAGGAUUGGGCCGUCCCAGGCAGAAGGAAAGUUCCUUUCCAGGCUCCCUGUUCCUCACAAUUUCCCUUCGUAGUGGCAGAGUCAGCGCCAAGGAAUUGCAUAGGUGCCACUCAGACCCGCGUCCCCCUGAGCCCUGCUCUCCUCUGCGCGGCCUCCCCGCUCCCCCUCCUCCCACCGCACGGCGCCCCCACCCUCAGGUGGGCAGACCCAAUGGGGCGUUUGAAACCGAAAUGGACAAAUAUCUACAAUAUCUGUCAUCCAAAGACUGAGAGCUGCCAUGAGCCUCUGUCGGACUCAGUGUUUCAGCCGUCAGAUGAGAAUAACGACAGGGACCUUCAAGGUGCUUGCAACUAAGUGCCGAAGCCCAGGGCGGUGGAGGGCUGCGGGGGCUGGAGGAUGGGGGGACGCAGGGAGCCACCCCCCUUGUUCUUCCCCCUCCAGGUCCUGGGUUCCUAGAAGAGGGGAAAUAAAAAGUCACCUGUUUGGCAGGCCCACUGGGACUGAGACAAGGCCUGCACCCGAAGGCGGCUUCUUCCCCGAACAGCGCCCCCUACCCCCACCCCCACCCCACCCCCCGCAGCCAGCCCCCCUGUGCCCAGCCCUCUGACCUCAGAAGGCUCUCCUAGUUAGCGCAGGGUCGUGACCUUGGCUAUUCAGGGAGGAAAUGCCCUGCCCAGAGUUCCUCUUGAGACAGGUGUUGAUGGUGAGUUUAGUAAAACCAGGGAACUCGCUGGGUUUCAGAUGAGUGUAAUGGAUUGAAUCAUGCCUGUUUUUAUGUUGGGGUCCUUACGCCCAGCAGCCACGGUGCUGCAGCCUUGAUCUUGAACGUCUGGCCUCCAGAACUGGGCGGCAACGAGCCUCUGUUCCUACGUAAGCUGCCCAUUUGUGGUCCUUUGAUAUGGCGGCCCCAGAAAACCGGUACGGGGGGGGGGACGGCCACUGUUCCGAAGACAGGACCAGACGAUGAUCUUAGACAUAAAGCCAAGGGGGCCUCUGGCAUCACCCAGGAUGGCAGAGCCCUCGAAACUCCUGCUGCGGAACGUGCAAAGACAAGGCGGAAGCAGCAGGCUUUCGGCGAGCCCCUGAGUUCACGAGCAAGUCAGGAUGUUCCAGGAGACGGAGACGAGCAGAGUGAGAGUGGAGUGGCUGCACCCUGGGAGCGCUGGUCCCAGGAUCCCAGGCUGUGAGUCUGACGGCCACGUUGGCCCUCGUGAGACAGGCGCCAGUAGAGCGGCCCCUUCGGGAGGAGCACAGACGAGGAGGCCCUGCACCUGGGCUGCUCCGACGCCGGCUCAGAGGUGCGGAGCUUUCUCAGGUUCCCCAGUCUGGGCCCCGUCACCCUUGCAGCAGACCAGCCGCAAAGAACGUGGGCCUGGGCCAGCCUCGCCCAGGGGCCUGGCACGGAAGCACAUGGGUAGCCACGCUGGGGGGAACCUCUCCAUCCUGCCCCGGCUGAUUCCUGCCAGCAGAGACGAACUCACGUUCGCAAAGGUCAGGACACGCCGGGAGAGGGCCACCGCCGGGAGCCCCGGCUGCGAGCGGCUCUCCAGACAGCGCGUCAGGACACUAGAGACAGGGAAGGGCUGGCGGAGUCGGAGGGAGGGCGAGCACGUCGGGACAGACCCCCAGGGGAGAGCAGCGUGUUGGAAGGGGAACCGAGUGGAACAUCCGAAGGGAAACAACACCCACGGGAAGGCACUUCCCCGGCUGAGCUCUGACGAGGCCGGUCGAGCCCGCGUCCGCAGGCCCCGCACCACGUGUGGCGGGAGCACAGGCAGCAAGGCCCGGAGCAUCUGGAGGACGUCCGCCCGGCAAACUGCAAAGAAGCAGCUCCCGAGAGACAAGCACGGAGAGAUCCGACCCGCGGGAUGAAAGAAGUGAAGCCUCAGACUCGGGAACACCGCGAGUCUGAAGCUGGGAAGAAAGAAACGGAGCUGCACGCGUGCGCUCGAGAGGGAAGCCGCGGAGUCCAAAGGACGACACAUCUAGAAGAAAGAAAACCAGUCCGGUACGCAAAAGUAGCCACGGUGGCAGCCGACUUGGCAAUCAUGAGGAUGAAAACAAGCAAUCGUAUGACCUACUUUUUCGAAGCCUCAAGAGAAAAUUCUAUCGACUGGGGAUUUUUACACGCAGCAUUGUUACCUGUUAUGCGGUAAGAAAUUACCCCGCAACUCAACCGCUUAAACACAUGUAGUAUCCCACGGUUUCUGCGGGUCAGGAAUCCGCCGAGCUGAGAGGGGGCCUCGGCCGGAUGAUCACGCAGGCUGCAGUCGCGGUGUUGGCCUGGGUCGGUGUCUCAGUUGAAGGUGUAACCGGGAAAGGGUCUGUUUCCAGGCUCGCUCGGGGAUGGUUCCUUGUGGCUCUUGGACUGGGGACCCUCCUGUCCGUGCCUCGUGGGCUUCUUCCACACGGCCGCUUGGGUCGCCAAAGCACACAAGCCAGCCUGGCGCCAGGGACUCUUCCGGCACGACCGAAGCCACAAGCACCUGCGCCUGCUCGUGGAGCGAGCCCUGCCUGCCGUGUUGUCUAGGUUACCGGGCAGGCACUAGGCAAGGAUGGGGAAGCCUCUCCCGCAGGCCCAGGGAUCAGGGGACUCCGCGGGAGUCCGUGCCAGUCCCUGGUCAGGUCAUCCCUCGGGAGGGAGGGCCUAGGAGCUCCCGGCGUGGCUCAGCACUAACAAAGCUUCAACAGAACCAUUUCAAACACACGUGCCUACGGAGUUCCUCUGUGGCAGACCCUUGCUGAAGGCACAGCUCGAGGAAGUCCUUCGGGAGAACUGAGCGGGCCUGAGAAGGAGGGGGGUGAGGCCAGGAGCCCCUAUAGGUGCCCCUUGCAAAGGUGGUCAUGACAGCGACACCUCGAGGAAGAAAGGCAGAGAGACGCUGAGACGCUGCAGAGCCAAAUCCUCAGCGGAGACAUUGCCGAGCUGGGGCGAGUGGGGCUGAUCAGAACGAGCUGGGUCAGACCGGGUGCCCCUCAGCAGGCGGAGGGACGCGUGGGUUAAUCCCGUGCUCUCGCCUCAAAUACAGGUGAUUCAAGGUGAACGGUAACCACUUAACCAAUACCGACAGCUUCCAAUCUGUGGCGGAGGCAUGAGGGAACAGAUGCUCGGUCUAAUUGGAGUCAGGAAACGGGACAAAGAUGCAAAGAUGAAGUAAAGAGAAAGAACGAGGUGGAAACGUAACGACAAUCACAGUGAAAUUAAAUGGGGCCAACCAGCCAGCUUUUUAAGAAAUCAUUUAUCAAAGUGGAUGAAGAGGGGUUCCCGUCGUGGCUCAGUGGGGUGAGAAUCUGACUAGUAUCCAUGGGGAUGCGGGUUCGAGCCCUGGCCUCGCUCGGUGGGUAGAGGGUCUGUCUCUGCCACAAGCUGUGGUGUAGGUCGCAGGUGUUGCCCAGAUCCUGCGUUCCUGUGGCUGUGCUGUAGGCUGGCAGCUGCAGCUCCAGUUCAAAGCCUAGUCCAGGAACGUCCUGAGCCACCUAAGCCACCCCUCCAGCCGGACCCCUGGACCCCCCCCACCCUUACCCCAUCCAAGGGAUCAGCUCACGGGCCCCCCUCGGGGAGGGGCAAGCAAUGGCCCCUGCUGUGUGUCUUCGCCCCCCGCCCGCCCCCUGAGGGGGGAGGGGGAGGGGGAGGGGCAGCAGGAGCCCCAGGAAGGCUUUGCCUGAAUUUCUCCUCUGGCCUCUUACCAAUUUCUGUUGAUUUGGGAGACCAAGAACGCUGGUCGAUAACAAGUUUGCCAGGAAGGUUUAAUCACCCAGACUUUGUACAUGCCAAGAACACGGUUUGAAGCUGCAUGAAGCAACAUUUGACAGGACGACGAGAACAAAUCAUCAGAUCCAUGGUCCCUGAGGGAAAUUACCGUGUAUGUCUCUUAGACUGAUAGGACCACCUCGACAUUAAUGAUUCAAAAAUUAAAGAGCACAGUUAACAAGCGCGACCCGAUAUGCAAACCCUGCACCCCCAAAUUAAAGAACGUGUUAUCUUCAGGCACGCGUGGAAUGUUUACCAACGAGGGACGCGAGACGAGGCCACACAACCAAAUCCCCACCAAAACCAACAAUUCCGUAUUGCGUUGCCCACGUUCUCCUGCUCAGUGACGGUAGAGCUGAGAAACAGGCACCAAAUGGAAAUGGAAAUAGGAAAAAUUGUAAACCAGACCCGCCUAAAGGUUCGAAGCGUGAAUCAGAACGGGGGCUCCCGCGUGUGGAACGUGGCAGUAAAGAAACACGUUGGUAAAGGGGGUUGGGGCAGCUGGACCUGUGCUUGGAAGGGAGUUUCUACUCCGAAACUGCACCUGUGGGGACAGGAGCGGGACCGCGCCGCCUAACUCAGAAGUCGGCCGGGGAGCAGGAGGGCAGCCUGGUCAGGAUUCGAGGAAUGAUCGUGAGACAACGACCAGAAGAAAGCAGACAUCGGGCAGGAGUAACAAAGCCAAACCCAGCUGGACCUCCCCGCCCUUCCCAAGACCAGAAGCCUGCGGAAGGGAUGGGCCUUUGCCUCCAGGGUGGGUUUCCAGGAGGGUGGCUGCUCCCACCCCCCUCUCCCUCCUGCUCUGUCUGCAGCCCUCCCUCCGUCUCUCCGUCCCUCCGUCCCUCCGUCCCUCCGUCCCUCCGUCUCUCCGUCCCUCCGUCCCGCCGUCCCUCCGUCCCUCCAUCUCUCCAUCUCUCCAUCUCUCCGUCUCUCCACCUGAGGGUGAGCCAGCCUGCAGAGACGCCAAUCCCCGUGAGUGAGCCUGCAAGCGGACCCGACCCCACUGGAGCCCUCGGAAAAGCGCAGCCUCAGCCGCCCCUUUGCUGGCAGUCAUGAGGCUCUGAGAGAGACGCCCCAAGCGAAGCGCCCUUGUUCCCCACACUCAGAACUGGGGGGGAUUCAUACUUGCUGUUUUCAGUCUCUAAGUUCUGAUGUCGUCUGCCACACAACCGGUACCUAAACCACAAAAGCCGUGAUGUCGCAAGAUUGAAGAAGAAAUGGGGCAACAGGAUUUGCUAAACAGUGUCAGAAGUGAAGAGUGAGGCAAACCACAGAUAGAAGAGAGAUUUUAAAAUCAAAAGAAGAUAGGAUGACCAGUCUUGCCGAUAAAUUUAAAGCUUAAAUAAAACAAUGUUCUGUUAAAAAUUAAACCUAUCAAAACUCAAGAAAAAAACUGAAUCCCCAAAUAGCCCAAUAACCAUAAAGAAAAUGAAUCACCAGAACUGCGGAUGGUUUAAAGAAAAGUUAUAUCAAAUAUUUAAAGAGCAGGAGAUCCAGCUCUUAUAAACGUCUUCCAGAUAAUUAAGUAGGAAGACCACCCAGACAAUCUUGAUGUCAAACCCAGAUGAUGUUACAGGAAAAAUUUUAAAAUAUAGACUGAGCAUAUUUAGACACAGAAAUACAAAAUUACCAAAUAAAAUACGAGCAAAGUUCGUCACUAUGUAUGAAAAAUAAUUACACCACAUUAGGUGUUCAAUCAAUAUAAGAAAAAUAUUUGAGGGAGUUCCCGUCAUGGCGCAGUGGUUAACAGAGCCGAUUGGAACCAUGAGGUUGCGGGUUCGAUCCCUGGCCUUGCUCAGUGGGUUAAGGAUCCGGCGUUGCCGUGAGCUGUGGUGUGGGUUGCAGACGCGGCUCGGAUCCUGCGUUGCUGUGGCUCUGGCGUAGACCGGCAGCUACAGCUCCAAUUCGACUCCUAGCCUGGGAACCUCCGUAUGCUGCCGAUAAAGUUAUUUCUGAUCGGUUUUGACCGACCCUUGCUCCAUCGCCAAUGACAUCACUCCUUAGCGAAGGUCGUUGAUGAAACCCUGUGAGAGACCCGUGAGUGGAGGGAAAGCCCUCAACUUGGUAGGGUUCUCACCACACCUCAGCCUCGUCAGCAUCGUCAGCCAUGGUGUGGCGGUUACACAACUGUGAGUGUUCUUGGUGCCAUGGAACCGUGCACUGGAGAGUGUGCACGUGGGAGCUCCUGUCAUGGCUCGGCAGUAACAAGCCCGACUGGGAACCAUGAGGUUGCGGGUUCAACCCCUGGCCUUGCUCAGUGGGUUAAGGAUCCGGUGUGGCCAUGAGCUGUGGUGUAGGUCCCAGAUGAGGCUCAGAUCCCGCGUGGCUGCUGCUGUGGUGGAGGCCGGCAGCUGCAGUAGCUCCAAUGGGACCCCUAGUCUGGGAACCUCCAUAUGCCGCAUGUGCGGCCCUAAAAAG